rnacentral:rRNA from 1 species
GACGAACGCUGGCGGCGUGCUUAACACAUGCAAGUCGAACGGAAAGGCCCUGCUUUUGUGGGGUGCUCGAGUGGCGAACGGGUGAGUAACACGUGAGUAACCUGCCCUUGACUUUGGGAUAACUUCAGGAAACUGGGGCUAAUACCGGAUAGGAGCUCCUGCUGCAUGGUGGGGGUUGGAAAGUUUCGGCUGUUGGGGAUGGACUCGCGGCUUAUCAGCUUGUUGGUGGGGUAGUGGCUUACCAAGGCUUUGACGGGUAGCCGGCCUGAGAGGGUGACCGGCAACAUUGGGACUGAGAUACGGACCAGACUGCUACGGGAGGCAGCAGGGGGGAAUAUUGCACAAUGGGCGGAAGCCUGAUGCAGCAACGCCGCGUGCGGGAUGACGGCCUUCGGGUUGUAAACCGCUUUCGCCUGUGACGAAGCGUGAGUGACGGUAAUGGGUAAAGAAGCACCGGCUAACUACGUG